rnacentral:lncRNA from 1 species
GGGGACGCUGUCGCUGAAGCAGUGAUGGAUUUUAAAGACACUUACCGGGCGUCCCAGAGGGCAGGUUUUGCGCCAUGGCAUUUAGCAUCCUGACUAAUAUCUUGGUACCCCUGGCCUCCUAGGUGGCUGCUUAUCUCCAUGCGAGGUAAUAGCUUUAUUCAAAGGGAGAGGAGCACAGGCCCAGUGAAAUGUCACUUGUUUUCCAGGUGGUUGUGACUGUUUUGUAUCUUGCAGCAAACAGAGUUGAAAACCAUAUGUGAAAUAAUGAAUAAAGCCGAAGCUUAUGCUGUGAGGUCUCUGGCAUGUCUUGAAGCAAUUAAAAUAUCAGUUCCAAACUUCCGUGCAUGUAGAGUCACCGUCCUUUCUUCUUUUACCUUUGUGGAAGAAGACAGUGGCUGUGAUGUGGUUGGGAACCAGAACAAAUAUUUAUCUCUAGCCGGAAACAAAGAAUGCAGCAGCGCAGCUGACAGCAGCCCGAGCAGAACACUCCGGUGGUGGGAGCACUAGACGUGCACAGACAGACAGUCAUGGACCCCUCCCCUUGCUGCUCUGGUGCAGGACGGGGCUAUUCCGCAUGUGACUGAGAACAUGCCUAUUGCAUUGGCCACCUAAAGUUUUAACGUGAAACACCCAGGUAGGAGGGAAAGGCUCCUGCAGCAGCGCCUCUCAUGGGAUGUCACGUGGGUCUGAGGAUCAGCUGGCUUGCCAUGACACUUAAACCUACCCACACUGCAAGUGCGCUGCAGGACGGGGAAGCCCUGGGAUGCCUAGCUUAGUUGGGUACUGUGCAGUCCUGUAGCUUCACUUCCUGUCCUAAACACUGGGGUAGUGUUGCUAUGCGCUGUUAAACAGUUGCUGCGUUCCUCCCCAGAAGUGGCUGCAUCUUAGCAGAUGGCUGCCAUAUGAACCCUGUGCAUAGCUGGUAUGUCAGUUCCCAAAAUGGAAAUGCUCCCUGGAUAUUAAUUCCUUUCCCUUCACUCACCCUGUAAUUGUUCAGAAAGUGAAAAUAGAGUCAUGUUAAUACUAUUUUGGAGAAAAAUCUUCUAUUUAGCUUUUUCUAAGCAGCAUCGCCCUCUGCCAACCGGGGGACUGCCAGCCCUGCCCAGAUACCAUAGUGGGUGGCACUUCAUAACGACACAGACAGAGAGAACCCAUUCCAGACCAGUGCCCUGGUGUUUGGAGGUGAGGUUUGCAGGGGGACUGCCGGGUAGUGCUGUAAUUGGCUGAUGAAGCAUGGUCUUGGUGUAAUGUCUAUUAUUAAUAACAUGACUUUGAUAAUAAAAAGAUUAAAAUUAAGUUUAUGGUUUGCUGA